rnacentral:tRNA from 1 species
UCCACUUUAGUUUAUGAGAAUAAGGGUUUUGUAAAUCUUGGGUAAAUGUGGAC